rnacentral:rRNA from 1 species
CGCGUAGGUGGUUCGAUCAGUCGGAGGUGAAAGCCCUCGGCUCAACCGAGGAUCCGCGUCCGAUACUGUCGAACUUGAGUGCAGGAGAGGAGAGCGGAAUUCCCAGUGUAGCGGUGAAAUGCGUAGAUAUUGGGAGGAACACCGGUGGCGAAGGCGGCUCUCUGGACUGCCACUGACACUGAGGCGCGAAAGCUAGGGGAGCAAACGGGAUUAGAUACCCCGGUAGUCCUAGCCGUAAACGAUGGGCACUAGGUGUGGGAGGUAUCGACCCCUUCCGUGCCGCAGCUAACGCAUUAAGUGCCCCGCCUGGGGAGUACGGCCGCAAGGUUGAA